AUUUUAUAAUAAUACUUUUUAAUAUUGGUGGUAGUAUAAAUAAAUCCAAACAAUUCAAUCAUUUAUGAGAUAAACGGUUGUUUUCUACUACUGAACCGUUUGGGCGAAGAAAACGCUGGUAGAGAUUUAACUCGAUGAUGAUGUCGCCACGACGCCUUGUAUAUAUUUAGCGCCGCUCGCAUAUCUCAGACUCCAGUCCUCACCAGCUACAGAUGAUUCUUGCGCUUUUGAUUUUCCCUACGCUUUUUUGACUAAAACCCUCGAUUCCUCCUCCAAGAUCCUGGAGAGACUAGCAGCAGCCGUCGCUGUACGUGUGUAUCGUUGCAUGGUGCUGCAAUCUCACGAUGUAUCGGAUCUCUGCAUCGGCAAGCCGCCGGUGAGGUGGCUGCCGCCGUCCUCCACCGUCGCCGAUGCCAUCGCCGAGAUCGAGGCCGGCGGCGGCCGGGGUCCGGACGCUGCCGUCGCCGUGUGGGACGGGACGAAGGGGGAAGUGGAUGGCAGGGUGUGCAUGGCCGACGUGCACCUCUUCCUCUGCGGCGGCGACGGCGAGGCGGCCAGCCUGGCUUCCCCGGCCGCCGCGCUUCAGGCCACGCUCUCCGACCUCCUCGCCGCCGGCGCGCCGCCCGUCCGCCGCAUCGAGCCCCACGCGAGUGUGGUGGAAGCGGUGGACGCCUUCUUGGACGGCGCGCACUGCCUCGUCGUGCCGAUCCGGGAGCGGUGGCGGCGCGCGGCGGCGGCGGGGGAGAUGUGCAUGUGCUGGCUCACGGUGGAGGACGUCGUGCGCUUCUUCGUCGGCUGCAUCGGCCUCUUCGCCCCGACGGCCUCGCUCUGCGGUUUCUCAGCUCAGGCAUCAGUCCGCGAGGCCACGCUCCCGUCGCCGCCGGCGACAGGGCGCUCUCCGCCGUGCCGCUCCUCAGCGCCGCGCUGGCGACGCACUCCUCCGUCGCCGUCAUCACGGGCGCAGGCAUCGCCCCCCGCCUCGCCGGCGAGGUGUCGCCGUCGGCGCUCUGCUCCUGCGACGUAUCCGUCGCGGCGGCCAUCGCCGCGCUCUCGGCUGGCGACCUCACGGCCUUCCUCCACCGCAGCGACCUCCGGUGCCGCCGCAACCUCCCCGGCAUGGUCGACCUCCUGUACGCCGGCGACCCUUCGUCGUGGCCCCCCUCCCCCUCCUCCUCUUCCUCCUCCUCGUCGUCAUCGUCGUCGUUAUCCUCCUUCUCGUCUUCCUCCGACGACGAGGCGGAGGACGGGUACAAACACUAUGCGCCAGCGCCGUGCGCGCGGCGAGACAACAACAGGCAGAUCAUCGCGUGCCACCCGGGGAGCUCGCUGGUGGCGGUGAUGGCGCAGGCGGUCGCGCACCGCGUGACGCAGGUGUGGGUGGUGGACUUCGACGACGGCGAGCUGGUCGGCGUCGUCCGCUUCCUCGACGUGCUCUGGGUUCUUCGCGAACACCUCAACCAACCACCCCUGAUCUACCCAUCGAAUUUCUCAUCAAUUAAUCCCAGUACUAAGCUUCGUUGAUGUACAUACGAGGACAAAAAUUGCGACCAUGAACUGAACCUUUUGUUCAUCUUAAAUUUACGCCAUGUGUUUCGUCGGCGGAUGAACUUGAAACGAAGGAAGAGUCAAAAGAUUGAUGGAGGACAGAAACCACCUGUCCCGACAAAUUUUGCAAA